CCUACGGGUGGCAGCAGUGGGGGAUUUUGCACAAUGGGGGAAACCCUGACGCAGCAACGCCGCGUGCGGGACGACGGCCCUCGGGUUGUAAACCGCUUUCCGUGGGGACGAUGGUGACGGUAACCAAAGAAAAAGCUCCGGCUAACUACGUGCCAGCAGCCGCGGUAAUACGUAGGGAGCGAGCGUUAUCCGGAUUCAUUGGGCGUAAAGCGCGCGUAGGCGGCUUCCUAAGCGGAACCUCUAAUCCCGGGGCUCAACCUUGGGCCGGGUUUGGAACUGGGCGGCUUGAGUGCGGGAGAGGUAGGAGGAAUUCCCGGUGUAGCGGUGGAAUGCGCAGAUAUCGGGAAGAACACCGAUGGCGAAGGCAGCCUGCUGGGCCGUCACUGACGCUGAGGCGCGAAAGCUGGGGGAGCGAACAGGAUUAGAUACCCCAGUAGUC
rnacentral:rRNA from 1 species